GGCGGGACACGUGGUAUCCUGUCUGAAUAUGGGGGGACCAUCCUCCAAGGCUAAAUACUCCUGACUGACCGAUAGUGAACCAGUACCGUGAGGGAAAGGCGAAAAGAACCCCGGCGAGGGGAGUGAAAAAGAACCUGAAACCGUGUACGUACAAGCAGUGGGAGCACGCUUCGGCGUGUGACUGCGUACCUUUUGUAUAAUGGGUCAGCGACUUAUAUUCUGUAGCAAGGUUAACCGAAUAGGGGAGCCGAAGGGAAACCGAGUCUUAACUGGGCGUUAAGUUGCAGGGUAUAGACCCGAAACCCGGUGAUCUAGCCAUGGGCAGGUUGAAGGUUGGGUAACACUAACUGGAGGACCGAACCGACUAAUGUUGAAAAAUUAGCGGAUGACUUGUGGCUGGGGGUGAAAGGCCAAUCAAACCGGGAGAUAGCUGGUUCUCCCCGAAAGCUAUUUAGGUAGCGCCUCGUGAAUUCAUCUCCGGGGGUAGAGCACUGUUUCGGCAAGGGGGUCAUCCCGACUUACCAACCCGAUGCAAACUGCGAAUACCGGAGAAUGUUAUCACGGGAGACACACGGCGGGUGCUAACGUCCGUCGUGAAGAGGGAAACAACCCAGACCGCCAGCUAAGGUCCCAAAGUCAUGGUUAAGUGGGAAACGAUGUGGGAAGGCCCAGACAGCCAGGAUGUUGGCUUAGAAGCAGCCAUCAUUUAAAGAAAGCGUAAUAGCUCACUGGUCGAGUCGGCCUGCGCGGAAGAUGUAACGGGGCUAAACCAUGCACCGAAGCUGCGGCAGCGACGCUUAUGCGUUGUUGGGUAGGGGAGCGUUCUGUAAGCCUGUGAAGGUGUGCUGUGAGGCAUGCUGGAGGUAUCAGAAGUGCGAAUGCUGACAUAAGUAACGAUAAAGCGGGUGAAAAGCCCGCUCGCCGGAAGACCAAGGGUUCCUGUCCAACGUUAAUCGGGGCAGGGUGAGUCGACCCCUAAGGCGAGGCCGAAAGGCGUAGUCGAUGGGAAACAGGUUAAUAUUCCUGUACUUGGUGUUACUGCGAAGGGGGGACGGAGAAGGCUAUGUUGGCCGGGCGACGGUUGUCCCGGUUUAAGCGUGUAGGCUGGUUUUCCAGGCAAAUCCGGAAAAUCAAGGCUGAGGCGUGAUGACGAGGCACUACGGUGCUGAAGCAACAAAUGCCCUGCUUCCAGGAAAAGCCUCUAAGCAUCAGGUAACAUCAAAUCGUACCCCAAACCGACACAGGUGGUCAGGUAGAGAAUACCAAGGCGCUUGAGAGAACUCGGGUGAAGGAACUAGGCAAAAUGGUGCCGUAACUUCGGGAGAAGGCACGCUGAUAUGUAGGUGAAGCGACUUGCUCGUGGAGCUGAAAUCAGUCGAAGAUACCAGCUGGCUGCAACUGUUUAUUAAAAACACAGCACUGUGCAAACACGAAAGUGGACGUAUACGGUGUGACGCCUGCCCGGUGCCGGAAGGUUAAUUGAUGGGGUUAGCGGUAACGCGAAGCUCUUGAUCGAAGCCCCGGUAAACGGCGGCCGUAACUAUAACGGUCCUAAGGUAGCGAAAUUCCUUGUCGGGUAAGUUCCGACCUGCACGAAUGGCGUAAUGAUGGCCAGGCUGUCUCCACCCGAGACUCAGUGAAAUUGAACUCGCUGUGAAGAUGCAGUGUACCCGCGGCAAGACGGAAAGACCCCGUGAACCUUUACUAUAGCUUGACACUGAACAUUGAGCCUUGAUGUGUAGGAUAGGUGGGAGGCUUUGAAGUGUGGACGCCAGUCUGCAUGGAGCCGACCUUGAAAUACCACCCUUUAAUGUUUGAUGUUCUAACGUUGACCCGUAAUCCGGGUUGCGGACAGUGUCUGGUGGGUAGUUUGACUGGGGCGGUCUCCUCCUAAAGAGUAACGGAGGAGCACGAAGGUUGGCUAAUCCUGGUCGGACAUCAGGAGGUUAGUGCAAUGGCAUAAGCCAGCUUGACUGCGAGCGUGACGGCGCGAGCAGGUGCGAAAGCAGGUCAUAGUGAUCCGGUGGUUCUGAAUGGAAGGGCCAUCGCUCAACGGAUAAAAGGUACUCCGGGGAUAACAGGCUGAUACCGCCCAAGAGUUCAUAUCGACGGCGGUGUUUGGCACCUCGAUGUCGGCUCAUCACAUCCUGGGGCUGAAGUAGGUCCCAAGGGUAUGGCUGUUCGCCAUUUAAAGUGGUACGCGAGCUGGGUUUAGAACGUCGUGAGACAGUUCGGUCCCUAUCUGCCGUGGGCGCUGGAGAACUGAGGGGGGCUGCUCCUAGUACGAGAGGACCGGAGUGGACGCAUCACUGGUGUUCGGGUUGUCAUGCCAAUGGCACUGCCCGGUAGCUAAAUGCGGAAGAGAUAAGUGCUGAAAGCAUCUAAGCACGAAACUUGCCCCGAGAUGAGUUCUCCCUGAC
rnacentral:rRNA from 1 species